rnacentral:rRNA from 1 species
UAAAUAGUACUGCGAGUCCGAUAGCAAACAAGUACCGUGAGGGAAAGUUGCAAAGAACUUUGAAGAGAGAGUUCAAGAGUGCGUGAAUCCACUGGGAUGGAAACGGAUAGAGUUGACGAAUUGGGCGAUAUUCAGCUGUUUUGCGUGAGCAAAGUGGUGUACUUAUCGUUUGUGUGCGCUGAGAGUCUUGAUUGAACAUUCUAAACCGUCGUUUUUUGUUGCCCGUCGUCUCACGACGAUGGUGUCUUGGGCGUGCGGGAUGGGAUGUUUCGAUUAAGUAUUUUCGGUGUGAAAGUCGACCACCUAUCCGACCCGUCUUGAAACACGGACCAAGGAGUCUAGCGUAUGUGCGAGUCAUUGGGUGGUAAACCUAUUGGCGUAACGAAAGUAAAGGUCGUUUCUUGCGGCUGAUAUGGGAUCCGUACGGUUUCGAUCGUGCGGCGCACCAUAGCCCUGUCUCGAAGGCUUGCCUUGAGAUGGAGGUAGAGCGCAUGCGCUAGGACCCGAAAGAUGGUGAACUAUACGUGAGCAGGAUGAAGCCGGAGGAAACUCUGGUGGAAGUCCGUAACGGUUCUGACGUGCAAAUCGAUCGUCUGACUUGCGUAUAGGGGCGAAAGACUAAUCGAACCAUCUUMUGGUGGCCG